GUCCCAUAGUGUCUCCUCCCCUCCCCUUGUCCCAUAGUGUCUCCCCUCCCUUUCUCCCAUAGUGUCCCCCUCCCCUUGUCCCAUAGUGUCUCCCCCCCUCCCCUUGUCCCAUAGUGUCUCCUUCCCUCCCCUUGUCCCAUAGUCUCCUCCCCUCCCUUUCUCCCAUAGUGUCCCAUUCCCCUUGUCCCAUAGUGUCUCCCCCUCCCCUUGUCCC